UCCGGAUGUUAGCGGCGGACGGGUGAGUAACACGUGGGUAACCUGCCUGUAAGACUGGGAUAACUCCGGGAAACCGGAGCUAAUACCGGAUAGUUCCUUGAACCGCAUGGUUCAAGGAUGAAAGACGGUUUCGGCUGUCACUUACAGAUGGACCCGCGGCGCAUUAGCUAGUUGGUGGGGUAAUGGCUCACCAAGGCGACGAUGCGUAGCCGACCUGAGAGGGUGAUCGGCCACACUGGGACUGAGACACGGCCCAGACUCCUACGGGAGGCAGCAGUAGGGAAUCUUCCGCAAUGGACGAAAGUCUGACGGAGCAACGCCGCGUGAGUGAUGAAGGUUUUCGGAUCGUAAAGCUCUGUUGUUAGGGAAGAACAAGUGCGAGAGUAACUGCUCGCACCUUGACGGUACCUAACCAGAAAGCCACGGCUAACUACGUGCCAGCAGCCGCGGUAAUACGUAGGUGGCAAGCGUUGUCCGGAAUUAUUGGGCGUAAAGGGCUCGCAGGCGGUUUCUUAAGUCUGAUGUGAAAGCCCCCGGCUCAACCGGGGAGGGUCAUUGGAAACUGGGAAACUUGAGUGCAGAAGAGGAGAGUGGAAUUCCACGUGUAGCGGUGAAAUGCGUAGAGAUGUGGAGGAACACCAGUGGCGAAGGCGACUCUCUGGUCUGUAACUGACGCUGAGGAGCGAAAGCGUGGGGAGCGAACAGGAUUAGAUACCCUGGUAGUCCACGCCGUAAACGAUGAGUGCUAAGUGUUAGGGGGUUUCCGCCCCUUAGUGCUGCAGCUAACGCAUUAAGCACUCCGCCUGGGGAGUACGGUCGCAAGACUGAAACUCAAAGGAAUUGACGGGGGCCCGCACAAGCGGUGGAGCAUGUGGUUUAAUUCGAA
rnacentral:rRNA from 1 species